UACGUAGGUGGCGAGCGUUGUCCGGAUUUACUGGGCGUAAAGGGAGCGUAGGCGGAUUUUUAAGUGAGAUGUGAAAUACUCGGGCUCAACUUGAGUGCUGCAUUGCAAACUGGAAGUCUAGAGUGCAGGAGAGGAGAAUGGAAUUCCUAGUGUAGCGGUGAAAUGCGUAGAGAUUAGGAAGAACACCAGUGGCGAAGGCGAUUCUCUGGACUGUAACUGACGCUGAGGCUCGAAAGCGUGGGGAGCAAACAGG
rnacentral:rRNA from 1 species